AUUGAACGCUGGCGGCAGGCCUAACACAUGCAAGUCGAGCGGAUGAAGGGUGCUUGCUCCUGGAUUCAGCGGCGGACGGGUGUGUAAUGCCUAGGAAUCUGCCUGGUAGUGGGUGAUAACGUCCGUUAACGGGCGCUAAUACCGCAUACGUCCUGAGGGUGAAAGUGGGUGAUCUUCGGACCUCUCGCUCUCAGUUGAGCCUAGGUCGGAUUAGCUAGUUGGUGGGGUAAAUGCCUACCAAGGCGACGAUCCGUAACUGGUCUGAGAGGAUGAUCAGUGACACGGGAAGUGAGACACGGAACAGAGUACUACGGGAGGAAGCAGUGGGGAAUAAUGGACAAUGGGCGAAAGGAUGAUACAGCAAUGCCGAGUGUGUGAAGAAGGUCUUCGGAUUGUAAAGAACGUUAAGUGGGGAGGAAGGGAAGUAAGUUAAUACCUUGCUGUAUUGACGUGAACAAAAGAAGAAGCACCGGCUAACUACGUG
rnacentral:rRNA from 1 species